ensembl:misc_RNA Metazoa_SRP Metazoan signal recognition particle RNA
GCCGGGUGCGGUGGCGCGCGCCUGUAAUCCAAGCUACCGGGAGGCUGAGGCUGGCGGAUCGUUUGAGCUCAGGAGCUCUGAGCUGCAGUGGACUAUGCCGAUCGGGUGUCCGCACUAAGCUCGGUAUCGAUAUGGUGCUCCUGGGGGAGCCCGGGACCACCAGGUCGCCUAAGGAGGGGUGCACCGGCCCAGGUCGGGAACGGAGCAGGUCAAAGCCCCCGUGCCGCUCAGUAGUGGGAUCGCGCCUGUGAAUAGACGCUGUAGCGCAGCCUGAGUAAUACAGCGAGACUCAGUCUUUU